rnacentral:rRNA from 1 species
CCUACGGGAGGCAGCAGUGGGGAAUAUUGGACAAUGGGGGCAACCCUGAUCCAGCCAUGCCGCGUGUGUGAAGAAGGCCCUCGGGUUGUAAAGCACUUUCAGUGAGGAAGAACGCCUGGUGGUUAAUACCCAUCAGGAAAGACAUCACUCACAGAAGAAGCACCGGCUAACUCCGUGCCAGCAGCCGCGGUAAUACGGAGGGUGCGAGCGUUAAUCGGAAUUACUGGGCGUAAAGCGCGCGUAGGUGGCUUGAUAAGCCGGUUGUGAAAGCCCCGGGCUCAACCUGGGAACGGCAUCCGGAACUGUUAAGCUAGAGUGCAGGAGAGGUAGGUAGAAUUCCCGGUGUAGCGGUGAAAUGCGUAGAGAUCGGGAGGAAUACCAGUGGCGAAGGCGGCCUUCUGGACUGACACUGACCCUGAGGUGCGAAAGCGUGGGUAGCAAACAGGAGUAGAUACCCUAGUAGUC